GACGAACGCUGGCGGCGUGCUUAACACAUGCAAGUCGAACGAUAAAGCCGGAGCUUUCUCUGGUGGAUUAGUGGCGAACGGGUGAGUAACACGUGAGUAACCUGCCCUGGACUCUGGGAUAACCUCUGGAAACUACGGCUAAUACCGGAUAGGACCUUCUGUCGCAUGGUCUGGGUUGGAAAGUUUCUUCGGUCUGGGAUGGACUCGCGGCCUAUCAGCUUGUUGGUGGGGUAAUGGCUCACCAAGGCGUCGACGGGUAGCCGGCCUGAGAGGGUGACCGGCCAGACUCGGUCGGAGAGAGGGACGAGCCUGAUACGGGCGGGAGGAAGCGGGAAUAAAGCUCACUGGGCGAACGGAUGCCGCAGGCAGGCCGGGUGCGGGAGGAAGGCCGUCGGGUUGUAAAUAGACCUCAGUCGGGAAGAAGGGAUUCGGAUUGACGGUACCGGCAGAAAAAGCACCGGCUAACUACGUG
rnacentral:rRNA from 1 species